rnacentral:lncRNA from 1 species
UUUAUAGAUAUACAUUUAAUACAAGGUUUGUAAUCAUUUAUAUUUUUGGCAACAUAUAGCAAGUGUUACAAAUUAACUUGGAACGUACAAGAAAAUAGUUUUGAGUUGAAACCCUAACACAUUAAUUAAGUAAUAUAUACCAUCUUUUGUAGAUAAGCAUUCAUGUAACUCGGACCCUAAAUACUAAACCCUAAACAUUAAGAGAUUAUCAUUAUUUGUACUUGCCACGAGAAAAUGAAUUUGACCGAGUUAGAUAUAUAUGAAGAAACAUGUAUGAUAUAUGGCCGGGCCGCCGGACUCACCCCACAUGCAUAGUAGCAUUGUGUCUUGAACUAGCUUCCAAUUGUCAUGAUAGAAAAAGUAACUUCAAAUUUAAGAGCAGGCGAUCCAAAAAAAAUUAUUUGAAGUUUAUAACUAAACAAAACCAAAGGGCACUUUGGUACUAGCGAGCAAAUCACAGAAGCAAUGGGAAGAUGAAGUCUAUAAAUGGGCAAGUGCAUUUUCCUGGAAGCAA